UACAGAGGGGGCAAGCGUUGUUCGGAAUUACUGGGCGUAAAGGGCGCGUAGGCGGCCUGUUAAGUCGAACGUGAAAUCCCCGGGCUCAACCCGGGAACUGCGUCCGAUACUGGCAGGCUUGAAUUCGGGAGAGGGAUGUGGAAUUCCAGGUGUAGCGGUGAAAUGCGCAGAUAUCGGGAGGAACACCGGUGGCGAAGGCGGUUCUCUGGGCCUUACCUGACGCUGAGGAGCGAAAGCGUGGGGAGCGAACAGG
rnacentral:rRNA from 1 species